AUGGCGGCGACAUCAAAUGCGUUUUCUUCAACGAACCUCGGGUCCCAAGGGAGAGAUGACGAUCUCGGUGACUUCUUCAAUAAGUUGGACCUCCAUGAGGAGGAGUUUGAUGAUGUUGUGGUUGAGGAGGAAGCUCCAGAGCUGCUGGAGGAGAUUCGGUGGGUAGCCCUAGCUAGGGUUCAGACCAUGAAAAAUUUCAGCCAAUCGGCCUUCUACAAAGACAUGCGGGCGGCGUGGAAUUGCUCCCAGGUAGUCCGUUUCCGGCCGAUUGGCCCUAAUCUGUUUGUGGUUCAAGUUUACUGUCUUGGUGAUUGGGAUCGCAUCAUGGGACAAGGACCUUGGCUGUUCCGCAACAUGGCGGUCCUGUUAGUGCCAUAUGAUGGGUUCACGAACGCUGAAGAGGUGCCAAUAGAUUACAUGCCUAUCUGGCUCCAGAUCCAUAAGCUACCGGACGGGUAUUGCAGACAUGAUCUGAUCGUCAAGUUGCUCCGUUCUGCGGGAGAGGUCCUAGAAACCAGGCUUAAUGGUAACUCCAGAGGAGAUUACGUCCGUGUUAGAGUGAAGCAUGACAUCAGGAAGCCUCUCACCAAGUUUGUGAGCAUUGUCAAGGGUGAAACACAUAAGGUUUAUGCAGUGAGAUAUGAGAAGCUGGCAAGGUUCUGUAGUGCAUGUGGUAUCAUUGGCCAUGGGCAUAAGGAGUGUGGUAAUGGUGUGUUUGCUGAGAAGGAUCUCAAGUUUGGUGAUUACCUCUACGCUGACCCUCCGGCAGCUCGCUCGGACUGGGAAGCAAGGAGGGGAGAGAGAAAGACUUACGCAGAGCCACUGGUAACCAAGUCUGCUGCGGGUAAGGGAGAAGUCAGGCUGGAGGGAGAGCUAAAUGAUACGGCAACUAGCCCUCUAAAAACUUCCCUGUCUCGUGAUAUGGAAUUGGAUAGAUCUUCUCGUAAGCGUCUCAACAUGGAUGGUGGCAUAGAAACACAUGUGACAACUGUACCCUCUGCUGCGCAUAGGGAGGUGUUGUUGAUUACAGAAGGGAAAGGAGAUGGAGAACCGGUAUCGCCUACUAACAGCUCGGGAAGCAAACAUGCAAAACGAGAUGGUGAGACCUCAAACUCAGAGAAAAUUUCGGCGGGCUCCCAGGAGGAGCACCGCCAGUCCCAAUGA
rnacentral:rRNA from 1 species